GUGUGCUUUAAUUUCAGGCUUAAAAAUGUGAAGUCAAAAAAAUCUUUUAAAAUAAAAACUCCAUGAGUAAAUGCAUCUCACUACUUAAAUUGAGAUAUUUCAGGAAAAUAAGGAAGAUGAUCUUUACAGCUACUUUGCUAAAAAUAGACUUCUGCUGUAAAACUGCUCUCAUAUAUGCAAUUGUGAGGCCCCAUUAUAAUUCUGGUGAUUGUGUUGUCAUUGUGCCAUUAUGAAUUUAUGCAUAACAGGUAAUGUACACACACACACACACACACACACACACAGAGACUUUACUUCUCUGAGAACAAAGUAUGUGGGAUAAUUUGCUAUGCUGCAGUGAGUUGGGUUUUUUGUUUGUUUGUUUGUUUGAUUUUGGACAUGGAUCAUGUAGCUGUGUUAUUUGGGAAGGUCAAUGGUGUUGCUACUUCUGUUGUGAAUGUUUUUUUUAAAAUAAUAUAUUAGAGAAGUGAUUUCAAUGAUAAUAUACCAACAUGAAAUUGAUGGCUUAUUUGUAAAAUAUUUCCCCACCAAUUAUUGUUGCAAUGAAAGAUGAGAAUGCUCCUUAUUCUCCUUCUCAAAUGAAAUCCACCUUUUCUGAGCCUACACUGAACCUGUAAUACUUAUGGCAGGGGUUACCAUAGUAACCUGCAUUGAUGUCACCAGCUCAGGCUUCUGACUUCAUUGCAUAAUGCGGUAGAAAGUGCAUUUGCAGCAGAAACACCCUGCAAAGGAACAAGUAUCUUGAUUCACAGCAAAGAGGACAAAGAAAAGCUGCAAGCUCUAAGGGUUGAAUGCUGGAUUAUGUUGCUGUUGCUGGAGAAAUGUCACUGGGAAAGAUAAAGGACCAUUAUUCUAAAGAGUGUUUCAGGCUGACUGAAUCAGGUCUGAAACGUUAUUGAAAUGGGAAGAUAAACUCAACUAUUUUCAGAUUUCUACAAACUAGAAACCAUGGUAAACCCAGAAGAAAAGGCACUCCAGUUCAACCUUCUCUACAAAUGAAGGAAGGGGCAGCCAAUCUUACUUCUCCCAUAGACCAGACUGAAAGAUGGCUAAGAAUGUACUAAAGCACACUUCCACAUGUAGGCAUGGGCAUUUCUUGAAAGAACUGGCCUUGGGAGAGCAACUGAAGAGGAAAGAACCAUCCUGAAUUCAGGUAGUCAACAGCCUGGAUGUUCUCUUGGAAUAAGUGAAGUAAGAGAAUAUCAGACCAGAAAUUAGUAUUGAGGUUUCUCAAAAGGUUUGAAAGAGAAACACUACAUGGCCCACAGAUAUCACCCCUUGGUGUAUACCCAAAGGAUUCCAUUUCCUACUGUGAGCAUCCAAGCAUAUCCAUGUGGAUUGUUCUCUACUUACAAUAGAAGGAAAUGGAACCAGUAUAGAGACCCAUCAAUAGAUGAAUAGAUAAUGAAAAUGUAGUAUACAUACAUGAUGGAAUUUCAUUCAACUGUAGAGAAAAUGGAGUCAUUACAUGCGUAGGGAAGGGAAUUAAUAUGGAAGGUACAAUUUUUAAAGCUCACAGACAGUACAAUAGAUUUUAAAGUAAGACAUAGAACAGGGUAGGUGAAAAUCUGGGAUUCCAGGAGGGGAGGAGGGGGAAAAGUUAGAUAUGGAAUAGAAAUACACAGCUUACUAAGAAAGAGGUGAGAAAAUUUCUCUCCCAAAUGGAAGCAGGCUAGUGAGUUGAGGAAACAGCCCCAAUACAUCUGGCUGCAGUGUGUGGUCUUUUAUAGCCCCCAACUUGUCCUCUAUCAGCUUUAUUUUGUGCAUGCUUUGUUGGUUACCUGAUGCCCAGAUAAGGAAAGGCUUCAAGUUUCCCUUGGCAAGCUGGCUUCUUCCACGUGUUAUCUGGACACAUUCUUUUUAAAGUUACUACUAGUCUGUCAUAACUCUCGGGAGCUGUGGUCCUAAAAACAACUUUUUUCAGGAUAUAUAUAUCACAUAUAUUACACACACAUAUAUAUACACACAUACAUAUAUACAUAUAUACACAUAUGCAUACAUAUUUUAAGGAUGUGGUAAAAGAUUGGUAGAAGAAAUUAAUUGGAAGUUGGUGUGAAUUUGUGAGCACUGAGAACCAACAGUAUCAAAUAUAUAUAAAAGAAAACCAGAGCAUAGAGUUACAUUACUGACAGAUGUAAACAAUCUGUCUAAACGGAGCUUAUCCUUAUAUUGUAGCUGGAGUUACUGUCAUUGUAGCAUCUUAUGUGUUAGAAGUUCAUAUAUAUGAUUCAAUGCAAAGACAUGCACAAGGCCAAAGUUUCCAUUCAUCCCUUUUAUAAGCUACUUUAUCAUUGUUCUCUUUUGCACAAAUCAUCAUAGUCUUUGGUUAUAUUUUCCUGCUUUGUGUUUAAUAAUGUACAGAUGACCAAAAUUAAUAUUUUGCUCUGUUUUGCUUUGCUUUGCUUGGUUUUGUUUUACUGUCAAAAGCAGAUGAGUGUCUGGGCUUGGAAUGAGUCUUUUUGCCCCCAUUACUUCUUUCUAUUUUAGAAUUUUCCCCCCUCUAUUUCACCUGUUGAGAAUGAGACAGAGGCAAUGUUUACCAUGGCUGGGCUUGCAUUUCCACUCUGCAGUGAUCUUCCUCUUGGCAACUGUACACUGGUUAGAGCACACCUAACAUGGUCUCCAUGGCUUUUUUGUACAAAAGGACAGGUGAUUCUCCAGAACUGUAGAACAUGGAAAGGUGGGUGGGAUGGCUAGAGCUUGGCUGAUAUUAGAAGAAAGAGGUAAAAAUACAAUUUCUUUUCUCCCUAUCUCAGCUUCCAACCAUACACAGAAGGUCAGUUACACCAAUAUAGAAAAAAAAUCAUGUUUUAAAAUUCAGCUAUUAUAUAAAUACUAAGGCAUACCUUGACAGAGACAGGUUUCUGUCUUGAGCUUACGCAGGGCUCAUGCAUGCUAUCAUAGCUCCUAUGAGUUUACAUCAACCCCUGCCUUGCUUCAUUCAGGAUAAGUCGUCCUCAUAUAGGAUAACUUUAUUUCAAGUCUUUUUAUGUAUGUGCAUAUAUAUAUACAUACACACACACACACACACACACACACACACACACACACACACACAUAUAUAUAUAGUGGCUAUUCCUGGUUGUCAACUUAACUAUAUUUGGAAUGAACUACAAUCCAGAAUUGGAAGGCUCACCAGUGACCCUUAUCUGGAGGCUUGGAGAUCCUUAUCUGGAUCUUGGUAUGGAAAUCUUGAGCCAUAGUGGCUAUGGAUUCCAGAAGAUUAAAUCUCCGAGUUUAAGGAACACACCUUUAAUCUGCGCUACACCUUUUCAUCUGGGAUUAAGGAUGUGGUGGAACACACCUUUAAUCUGGGCUACACCUUCUGCUGGAGACAAUAUAAGGACAUUGAAAGAAGGGAGUCUAGCUCUAGCUCUUGCUCCUUUGCCUGCUUGCUGUGUGAGACUGAGUAACUGCUAGAUCCUUGCACUUCCAUUCACAGCUGCGACUGAACCAUUGUUGGGAAUUGGGCUGCCGACUGUAAGUCAUCAAUAAAUUCCUUUAUUAUCUAGAGACUAUCCAUAAGUUCUGUGACUCUAGAGAACCCUGACUAAUACAAUAUAUAUGUGUGUGUGUGUAUGUAAUAUGUAUGAUUUUGUAUAUUUGCCUAUAUAUAAGAAAGUGUUUAUGGAAACAGAAUAACUUUUAGAAAGCUCUUCAGUGUUAUUUAUCUCCCAAAUAAAACUGAUUUACGAUGCAUUUUCUUAA